CGCAACUUGUUUGUUCAUAAGAUGAAAAUUACUUCACAACUAAAUAUGCCAAUUUCUUCAUCCUCUAACAGUGCUUCCGUAAAAGACAAACCAGAUUGCAUGAACAUUUUUCUAUUGCAAGGUUGGGCAUUACCAGUUCGAAGUUCUUUUAGAUUUUCAAAUCAGCAGAAAGAACUGUUGUAUAAAUACUUUAUUCGUGGAGAAGAAUCAGGUAAUAAAAUGAGCCCUGAGCAGGUUCACAUGCAGCUGAGGAGAGAACUUCCGCCUGAUCAAUAAGUAACUAGCCAACAGAUAAGAUCUUUAUUUUCAAGAUUUAGUAACCUGAAAAGAAAAGGUAAGCUGGUAGAACCGACAACAGAAAAUAAUGAAAAUAGUCAGGUUAACGAUAACAAAGAAGUUUAUGGCAAAAAUGAUGACUUUAAUCUGACAGGAGACAAUGAAGAUGAUAAUAAAUAUGAGGAAGACAUCGCCAAUCUUGCAAAAGAAGUUUGUCUUGUAUGGAAAGUGAAUGAUUGGGUUGCUGUUGUAUAUGAAAAACAAUGGAAUAUUGGAUAUAUUGUGGAGGUAUCUAUAACUGGGAUCAGAGUUAAUUGUAUGAUUAACGGGCAAGAGAAGAAUACUUUUCGCUGGCCAGUUACUACCAAGGAGAUAAAUAACCAAACUGAUAAAAUUAUCUGUUUAGUAAAUGCUCCUUUUCUAAUCAGUGGUUGUGGCGAUUAUUCAUUAUCCGAAGAAGACUAUAAUACAGUCAUAUCAUUAUUCUUAGAGAAACUUACUGCAGCGGAGUAGAAAUUAUGUGUGAUGU